UCGAACGCGAAAGAGGGGGAAACUCCUCAAGUAGAGUGGCGAACGGGUGAGUAACGCGUGAAGAACCUGCCUUUCAACAGGGGGAUAACACUCCCAACGGGGUGCUAAUACCGCAUGAGACCACGGGGUCGCAUGGCCCUGAGGUCAAAGGUGGCCUCUGCUUGCAAGCUACCGGUUGAAGAUGGCUUCGCGUCCCAUUAGCUAGUUGGCGGUGUAACGGACCACCAAGGCGACGAUGGGUAGCUGGUUUGAGAGGAUAGUCAGCCACACUGGGACUGAGAUACGGCCCAGACUCCUACGGGAGGCAGCAGUCGAGAGGCUUUGGCAAUGGGGGAAACCCUGACCAAGCGACGCCGCGUGGAGGAUGAAGGCCCUUGGGUUGUAAACUCCUUUUGUCGGGGAAGAAAUGCGAUCAGGUGAACAAUCUGGUCGUUUGAAGGUACCCGACGAAUAAGCUCCGGCUAACUCCGUGCCAGCAGCCGCGGUAACACGGGGGGAGCAAGCGUUGUUCGGAAUCACUGGGCGUAAAGGGCGUGUAGGCGGCUCGGUAAGUGGGAUGUGAAAUGCCCCGGCUCACCCGGGGACCUGCAUCCCAAACUGCUGGGCUUGAGUAUGGGAGAGGAUGAGGGAAUUCCUGGUGUAGCGGUGAAAUGCGUGGAUAUCAGGAGGAAUACCGGUGGCGAAGGCGACCCCCUGGACCAACACUGACGCUGAGGUACGAAGGCGUGGGUAGCAAACAGGAUUAGAUACCCUGGUAGUCCACGCCGUAAACGAUGUCAACUAGUCGUCGGGGCCUUCGGGUCUUGGUGGCGCAGCUAACGCGUGAAGUUGACCGCCUGGGGAGUACGGCCGCAAGGUUAAAACUCAAAUGAAUUGACGG
rnacentral:rRNA from 1 species